UUGUAGUCUGCAACCCGACUACAUGAAGCUGGAAUCGCUAGUAAUCGCAGAUCAGAAUGCUGCGGUGAAUACGUUCCCGGGUCUUGUACACACCGCCCGUCACACCAUGGGAGUCGGGAAUGCCCGAAGUCAGUGACCCAACCGCAAGGAGGGAGCUGCCGAAGGCAGGCUCGAUAACUGGGGUGAAGUCGUAACAAGGUACC
rnacentral:rRNA from 1 species